AUAGCGUAUAUUAAAGUUGUUGCAGUUAAAAAGCUCGUAGUUGAACUUCAGACCUGGUUGGGUGGUCCGCUUAACAGCGUGUACUGUCUGACUGGGCCUUACCUCUUGGUGAGCCAGCGUGCCCUUUAUUGGUGUGCGUUGGGGAACCAGGACUUUUACCUUGAGAAAAUUAGAGUGUUCAAAGCAGGCCUAUGCCUGAAUACAUUAGCAUGGAAUAAUAAAAUAGGACGUGUGGUUCUAUUUUGUUGGUUUCUAGAGUCGCCGUAAUGAUUAAUAGGGAUAGUUGGGGGCAUUGGUAUUGAGUCGCUAGAGGUGAAAUUCUUGGAUUGACUCAAGACCAACUAUUG
rnacentral:rRNA from 1 species